UCGAGGCGGCAGCGGGAAGUAGCUUGCUACUUUUGCCGGCGAGCGGCGGACGGGUGAGUAAUGCCUGGGAAAUUGCCCAGUCGAGGGGGAUAACAGUUGGAAACGACUGCUAAUACCGCAUACGCCCUACGGGGGAAAGCAGGGGACCUUCGGGCCUUGCGCGAUUGGAUAUGCCCAGGUGGGAUUAGCUAGUUGGUGAGGUAAUGGCUCACCAAGGCGACGAUCCCUAGCUGGUCUGAGAGGAUGAUCAGCCACACUGGAACUGAGACACGGUCCAGACUCCUACGGGAGGCAGCAGUGGGGAAUAUUGCACAAUGGGGGAAACCCUGAUGCAGCCAUGCCGCGUGUGUGAAGAAGGCCUUCGGGUUGUAAAGCACUUUCAGCGAGGAGGAAAGGUUGAUGCCUAAUACGUAUCAACUGUGACGUUACUCGCANAAGAAGCACCGGCUAACUCCGUGCCAGCANCCGCGGUAAUACGGAGGGUGCAAGCGUUAAUCGGAAUUACUGGGCGUAAAGCGCAC
rnacentral:rRNA from 1 species